rnacentral:rRNA from 1 species
UACGAAGGGGGCUAGCGUUGCUCGGAAUCACUGGGCGUAAAGCGCACGUAGGCGGAUUGCUAAGUCAGGGGUGAAAUCCUGGAGCUCAACUCCAGAACUGCCUUUGAUACUGGCGACCUUGAGUCCGGGAGAGGUGAGUGGAACUGCGAGUGUAGAGGUGAAAUUCGUAGAUAUUCGCAAGAACACCAGUGGCGAAGGCGGCUCACUGGCCCGGUACUGACGCUGAUGCACGAAAGCUAGGGGAGCAAACAGG